UCUUUUAUGGGGUGACUGCGUACCUUUUGUAUAAUGGGUCAGCGACUUAUAUUCUGUAGCAAGGUUAACCGAAUAGGGGAGCCGAAGGGAAACCGAGUCUUAACUGGGCGUUAAGUUGCAGGGUAUAGACCCGAAACCCGGUGAUCUAGCCAUGGGCAGGUUGAAGGUUGGGUAACACUAACUGGAGGACCGAACCGACUAAUGUUGAAAAAUUAGCGGAUGACUUGUGGCUGGGGGUGAAAGGCCAAUCAAACCGGGAGAUAGCUGGUUCUCCCCGAAAGCUAUUUAGGUAGCGCCUCGUGAAUUCAUCUCCGGGGGUAGAGCACUGUUUCGGCAAGGGGGUCAUCCCGACUUACCAACCCGAUGCAAACUGCGAAUACCGGAGAAUGUUAUCACGGGAGACACACGGCGGGUGCUAACGUCCGUCGUGAAGAGGGAAACAACCCAGACCGCCAGCUAAGGUCCCAAAGUCAUGGUUAAGUGGGAAACGAUGUGGGAAGGCCCAGACAGCCAGGAUGUUGGCUUAGAAGCAGCCAUCAUUUAAAGAAAGCGUAAUAGCUCACUGGUCGAGU
rnacentral:rRNA from 1 species